GAAUUCGCCCUUAGAGUUUGAUCCUGGCUCAGGACGAACGCUGGCGGCACGCCUAACACAUGCAAGUCGAACGGAGAAAAUAGCUUCGGUUAUUUUCUUAGUGGCGGACGGGUGAGUAACACGUGAGGAACCUGCCUUUGAGAGUGGGAUAGCUUCUGGAAACGGAUGGUAAUACCGCAUAACAUAGCGAAACCGCAUGAUUUUGCUAUCAAAGUUUUUCGCUCAGAGAUGGCCUCGCGUCUGAUUAGAUAGUUGGUGAGGUAACGGCUCACCAAGUCGACGAUGCGUAGCCGAACUGAGAGGUUGAACGGCCACAUUGGGACUGAGACACGGCCCAGACUCCUACGGGAGGCAGCAGUGGGGGAUAUUGCACAAUGGGGGAAACCCUGAUGCAGCGAUGCCGCGUGGAGGAAGAAGGUUUUCGGAUUGUAAACUCCUGUCGUAAGGGAAGAGAAAGGACUGUACCUUACGAGAAAGCUCCGGCUAACUACGUGCCAGCAGCCGCGGUAAUACGUAGGGAGCGAGCGUUGUCCGGAAUGACUGGGUGUAAAGGGAGCGUAGGCGGGAUGGCAAGUCAGAUGUGAAACCUGAGGGCUCAACCUUCAGACUGCAUUUGAAACUGCUGUUCUUGAGUGAAGUAGAGGUAAGCGGAAUUCCUGGUGUAGCGGUGAAAUGCGUAGAGAUCAGGAGGAACAUCGGUGGCGAAGGCGGCUUACUGGGCUUUUACUGACGCUGAGGCUCGAAAGCGUGGGGAGCAAACAGGAUUAGAUACCCUGGUAGUCCACGCUGUAAACGAUGAUUACUAGGUGUGGGGGGGAUUGACCCCUUCCGUGCCGCAGUUAACACAAUAAGUAAUCCACCUGGGGAGUACGACCGCAAGGUUGAAACUCAAAGGAAUUGACGGGGGCCCGCACAAGCAGUGGAGUAUGUGGUUUAAUUCGAAGCAACGCGAAGAACCUUACCUAGACUUGACAUGUCCUGAAUUACCAGUAAUGUGGGAAGUUCCUUCGGGAACAGGAACACAGGUGGUGCAUGGUUGUCGUCAGCUCGUGUCGCGAGAUGUUGGGUUAAGUCCCGCAACGAGCGCAACCCUUAUUGUUAGUUGGUACCAUUAAGUUGACCACUCUAGCGAGACUGCCCGGGUUAACCGGGAGGAAGGUGGGGAUGACGUCAAAUCAUCAUGCCCCUUAUGUCUAGGGCUACACACGUGCUACAAUGGCAAGUACAAAGAGAAGCAAUACUGUGAAGUGGAGCAAAACUCAAAAACUUGUCUCAGUUCGGAUUGUAGGCUGAAACUCGCCUACAUGAAGCUGGAGUUGCUAGUAAUCGCGAAUCAGAAUGUCGCGGUGAAUACGUUCCCGGGUCUUGCACUCACCGCCCGUCA
rnacentral:rRNA from 1 species